rnacentral:rRNA from 1 species
UAAGACAGAGGUGGCAAGCGUUGUUCGGAAUUACUGGGCUUAAAGGGCGCGUAGGCGUCCCGGUAAGUCAGAUGUGGAAGCUUUCCGCUUAACGGGAAAAUUGCAUCUGAUACUGUCGGGAUUGAGUCAGCGAGGGGAUGGCGGAAUUCCAGGUGUAGCGGUGAAAUGCGUAGAUAUCUGGAGGAAGGCCGGUGGCGAAGGCGGCCAUCUGGCGCUGAACUGACGCUGAGGCGCGAAAGCGUGGGGAGCAAACAGGAUUAGAUACCCUGGUAGUCCACGCCCUAAACGGUGGGUACUAGGUGUAGGGCUCGCAAGGGUUCUGUGCCGUAGGGAAACCAUUAAGUACCCCGCCUGGGGAGUACGGCCGCAAGGUUGAAACUUAAAGGAAUUGACGG